AUUUCACACCCCACCCGGCCCGGUCAUAGACACAACUCCCCCUUGGACCAAAGCCGCCGCCGCCCUAUCGAUGCCCCAUCGCCGCCCCGUUGCCGCCCCUCGCCGGCACCAAGGCUAGGUCAAGGCCAAUUCUGGAGGCAGCAACGAGUUGGUGUGUGAUGUGGGCAUGGCCAACAAUGAAUUCUUAGACACUUUUGAGUAUGUCAUCAAGAGUGUGAAAGGGGAAAAUGAUGAUCUAAAGGGGAAGAUUAAAUACCCACACAAGGAUACUAUUCGGCCCGUUCAAGAGACAAAUCAGCUUAGGGACGGGAGGGAUAAGCUCGUCGAGGAUCAGGACAAACAGAAGGAGGAGAGGAGAUGCCUCACGGCUGAGAGGAUUGACCUGAAGAUGGACACAGAUCAUUUUAGAAAAGAAGGAGAGGGGGAUAGAAAGAAGCUUCUCCAGCUGGGCAUACUCCUUGAUGAAGAUUAGUUUUUAUGUAGCUAGCUAGUUCAUCUUAUUAGUUGAUGAUGAUCGAGUAACUAGAGUACCUGAGUGAACUUUUGUGAAGUUUAAUAUCGGCUUGUUGAGUUCAUGAGCCUCUUAUGUAAUGAUUAUCUAUUAAGUACAUUGUGUUGAUGUGUAUAUUGUGUUCAGUGGUA